AUGAAAAUAGCCCAGAGAAAGGAAAUCAAUUACCGGGCGCAGUCUGGCCUGCAGUUAUUAACCGACACGAGCAGAGACGGCGUUCUCUGCCACUUGGCUUCUGCAGAGGCUUUUAUCCCAGAUUGCUCCGAUGCGAUUCCCUUCCCCAGCCACGGAUGCAGGAGGACGGUGUCCAAAUUCACGCUUCCCGGGGGACAGAGGUUGACUGGGCAUCAUCCACGGGGAAAAGCACUUCCAAGGCAAGAAGUGACCAGCGCUUCGAAAGAAAGCCACGACGGAAAGCAGCCGCGGUCUCCAGGCUCGCUCAGGAAGCGUCUGUGCUGUGCUCGCACCGGGGGGGCCCCGAAGCCAGGAGCCCCGUGCCAGGGGACCGCCAGCUUUGCAGCAGCAUCCAGCGAGCAGGAGGCGGCUUUGGCACCGGCUGGGUUUGACAGAAGGACGGGCUCCCGUCGGAAACCAAGUCCUCUCCAUCCGUCUACUGCGCCAGGGAAGCACCUGCCACGUUCCCCAUAACAGCUCGGCUGCAGCUCCCCUCCGUGCUCAUGGAAAAAUGGGGCGAAGAGCCCCCAGCCCCAACCCGAUCCCAAGCAGCUGCUUUUGCCCUGGGGCAGAGACACCACAGUACAGCCUGGAGGGGCAGCGAGGGGAGGCUCCUGGGUGCCCCAAGGAAAAAGCAGCCCAAGGACCGCCCCCCCGUCCCAUGGGUGCCUGUGCAGGGACCCCACAGCCAGGGGAGCAUCACCCUGCUUGUAUGGCACAGCGCCGAGACCAGCCACAGCCCCCUCGCCGUGCCACCCUGGCAAGGCACCGGCAGCACCAAAACCAUGGGCACAGGGUCCCCAAACUCUUCCUACUCCACUUCCCAGCACACCCAGGUGCACGCCCUGCCUUGUUAUUGUAGGGUUGCUCACAACACCGCGGGGCCCCCGCGCCCCGGCAGAGCGAUGUCCCAGCCUCAGCUGAUGCCGGCGGCUCUGUUAUUGUAGGGUUGAUGAGAAGCGUGGGGCUGACGUUGCUGAAUUAUUAUUAGAUUGAGGGGGUGGAGAGGGGCCGGGAAAAGCACCAGCCAAAGGAUCCGAUCCAUCAAAUUUAAAGCCAGGAGAGCGCAGAAACCUGAGCGGUUCCUCCAAUGCAGCCCAGUAACAGCAACAGCUGGAUCGGAUUUUGGGCAUAAGCACAUUGGCACAGCCCCCUUUGAUUAAUAUCCUGUAUAACGACUAAUUAAUUCUAGAGGGGACAUGUAUUUGAAUAGUUACUGUGUGAUAAUGAAAUGUCAAGUGAGCAUUAAAACACACUUAGCGAGGGUUUAAUGACUCCCAGCAUCUGAGCCCAGUGCCCCAGCACCUCACCCACACCACGCCGGGCUUCUGCUCAAUAUGUUUUUAAAUACUCCCCCUAGGAUUUCAUCAGCGCCCAUUAGCUCUAUUAUUGAAUCUCAAUUAGCUCCUGAUUGGAAAGGGCUCUGCUUUGACACAUGUGGCCGGAGCCAUCGCCUUGCCGCUUGCCAGCGGUG
rnacentral:lncRNA from 1 species